CCGGACGCCGGAAAUGAGUGAGACUUGCAGCUGCCACCACCGCCGUUAUAAAGCCCAAAAGCCGCCGCGCCGCCGGUGCCGCCCGAAUCGCCCGGCCUUUUUUCUCCUGCAGACUCGGCUCCGCCCGUCCAGGUGCAGGUUACCAAGUGCCGGGCGCCGAGCAGCGACGGGGACACAGGGCCCGAGAGUGCCAGGCAGAGUGUGAAGCCGAUACUGCCACGCUGGGGAGGCGCUGGUCUCAAGCUGUCGCCAGCUCACAGCAACCUCAAACUCUUGGACUUAAGCAAUCCUCUUGCCUCAGCCUCCCAGGUAGCUGGGACUACAGGUGCUUGCCACAGCACCUGGCUAUUUCUUGGUUGUAGUCAUUGUUGUUUGACAAGCCCAGGCUGGAUUCGAACCUGCCAGCUCCUGUGUAUGUGGCUGGUACCCUAGCCACUUGAGCUACAGACUCUCUCCUUUCCUGGCUUUGAUGAAGAAAGCUGCCACACUAGGAAGGCGCACAUGAUGAGGAACUGAGGGACAUCUCUAGACAAUUCCAGCCAACAUCCAGCAAGGAACUGAUGGCUUCAGUUCAACAAGCAUUGAAGAACUGAUGGCAUCAACAGCUACGUAAGUGAGCAUAGAAGUGUAUCUUUCCCACUUGAGACUUCAGAAGAGACCUCAGCCCCAGCUGACAACCUGCUUGCAGUCUUGUGAAAGACCCUGAUGCAGAAAACCCAGCUAGGCCUCACCUGGAUUCCUGACCCACAAAAACUGUGAGAUAAUAAAUAGACAUUUUUUAAGCCACUAAAUUUUGAGGUAUCCAUUACGAUAGAUGACUAAUAUACCCCUAAAUCACUGUAAUCUUAGUGUAAGAUGUAGCAUGGCUAGGGACAAAAAUCACCUCUCCCAAGGAAGAUGAUAGUGUGUCUUAUGAUAUCCCUGCAGAUACUAUCUUUGUGAUCAGAGACCAUCCCUUGUACUCUUAUACUGAAACAGUCUCACUGUUGUCUCCACAGCCCUUACUAGUAGCUGCCAGGAGGUAAGGGCUAAGUACAGGAAUGGCAGGUGUAAGAUGACCAGGAUGGGGUCAUGAGUAGGGAUGAUGGAGUCAUUAUUUUCCCUCUUCAUUUUUUUUUCUUACCCACUUC